rnacentral:rRNA from 1 species
AUUGAACGCUGGCGGCAGGCUUAACACAUGCAAGUCGAGCGGGGGAAGGUAGCUUGCUACCGGACCUAGCGGCGGACGGGUGAGUAAUGCUUAGGAAUCUGCCUAUUAGUGGGGGACAACAUCUCGAAAGGGAUGCUAAUACCGCAUACGUCCUACGGGAGAAAGCAGGGGAUCUUCGGACCUUGCGCUAAUAGAUGAGCCUAAGUCGGAUUAGCUAGUUGGUGGGGUAAAGGCCUACCAAGGCGACGAUCUGUAGCGGGUCUGAGAGGAUGAUCCGCCACACUGGGACUGAGACACGGCCCAGACUCCUACGGGAGGCAGCAGUGGGGAAUAUUGGACAAUGGGCGCAAGCCUGAUCCAGCCAUGCCGCGUGUGUGAAGAAGGCCUUAUGGUUGUAAAGCACUUUAAGCGAGGAGGAGGCUACUUUAGAUAAUACCUAGAGAUAGUGGACGUUACUCGCAGAAUAAGCACCGGCUAACUCUGUGC